rnacentral:rRNA from 1 species
CCUACGGGUGGCUGCAGUCGAGAAUCUUCGGCAAUGGGCGCAAGCCUGACCGAGCGACGCCGCGUGCGGGAUGAAGGCCUUCGGGUUGUAAACCGCUGUCGAAGGGGAUGAAAUUCCGGAGGGUUCUCUCUCCGGAUUGACAGAUCCUUGGAGGAAGGACGGGCUAAGUUCGUGCCAGCAGCCGCGGUAAUACGAACCGUCCAAACGUUAUUCGGAAUCACUGGGCUUACAGAGUUCGUAGGCGGCGGAGAAAGUAGGGUGUGAAAGCCCUCGGCUCAACCGAGGAAUUGCGCCCUAAACUACUUCGCUUGAGGAGGCUAGAGGUGAGCAGAACAGAUGGUGGAGCGGUGAAAUGCGUUGAUAUCAUCUGGAAUACCGGAGGCGAAGGCGGCUCACUGGGACCUUUCUGACGCUGAGGAACGAAAGCUAGGGUAGCGAAC